CCCUGGGGGGCCGUCCCGAGGCCUUGGCCCGGGACCAGGGGCCGGCGGCUUCGGGAGCUCGGAGCUCUCCGGAGAAGAGCGAGCUCUGAGAAGCCCUUGUGCCGGGGAAGGCGUUCUGUGCCAACCCCCUCUUUCCCACUCCACAGGGGGAAACCGAGGCGGGCGAGGGCGGGCCAGGCAGAUUAGCUGACGUCCCUGGGCAGCGCUGUGCCUCUGUCUUGCCACGCACCUUGGCUCCCUGCGACCUCCACCCCGCUCGGGCCCUGGCCCUGGCCCUGGCCCUGGGGUCGCGCACUGAGGUGCCCACGCAGUGACCCGACUUCCCCUCUGUGAAGCCGGGACCUCAGGCUGUGGGCUGGGACAGGAGAGGGAGUCAGGGAAAGGGGAGCGCAGGUGGUCCCCACUGUGUUCCUGCCGCGACAGCAGGUGGGCUGCAGAGGGGCAGGGGGAGAUGGGACAGAGCCAGGGUGCAGGGGGCAAGGAGCUGGCGUUGGGCCGGGCUGUUGGGAGAGGCCGUGGAGGGGAGAGGGCUGGGCACAAAGAUGUGGGUAGGACGGGACUACUAGAACAGGACUACUAGAACUGGAGCAGAAUCCCCACACCCACAAACGCAAACAUCUCAUACUUCCAUCUCAAUCAAAAAGGGCAGGCUGGAGCCCGGAGUACAAGGCCCCCGAGAGCUGGAGUCCUGGGGAACCAGCCCAGCCAGGAUCCCCUGGGACCCAGGGUGCUGAGCCCGCAGCCUUGGGCCGGCCCUGCUGCCUGCCACCCCCCCCCAGCCUGAUAUGGAUAGAAGGGGCACUGGACAGGUCAGGGUCCUGCACCCAGUCCGGCCCCACCACAGCCCCUUCCGCUGUGGGCACCAAGGCCCCAUCCCAAGUGGCCGAGGGAGGGAGGCAUGGUGGGCUGGGGAGGUGGCCCUGGGUCACUGCCUGGGGGACCCUGGCCUGUCCACCUGCUCCUGAAAGGUUGGUGACACCACUCGGCCUUCGUCCUUGGACUUGGAGCAGUCCCUGCUCUUCAGGACAGGUCUGAGGACCACGUGAGCUCAUGGUGCAGCGACCAGCAUGAGAGGGGUCAGUGCGAGUCUUCAGUGCUGUGAUUAUGCCAUCAUCAUUGCCCUUGGUGUCUAAUUCGAGGACAGAGCAGGCAGCUGCAAACGCCUAUUGAAACGAGGAGCCCAAGAGGUGGGCUGGGCACCCACCCAGCCCAGGAGCAGCCCUGCUCCCACCUGGCCUCUGUCACCUGCUGAUCAGAAGCAUGGGCCCCACCAUGUCUCCAGGGCUCCUGAGGGCCUCCUAGGAGGCCAUGAUGCUCUCUGCCGCUGAAGCCCUCAGCAGCAACCUUAGCCUGGACCUCGGGGGAUUUGCCUUGAAGAAUCACUUGAUUCCAGUCAGCUGAACUGGACUCUGACUCGAGUCCCUGGGGCUGUGGACCCGUGUGACCCGGAGCCGCUGGCUUCUCCUCUCCGUACCUCAGCUCACUCAGCCUAUAAGUCACAGUGUGCGCCCUCAGGACUGCUGGCAUAAGCUGGGGGAGAGCACUGAGGGUCACCGUGUGCCCUGGAAGUCCUUGUGUUGGAGAUGUAACCCAAGAGUCACAUGUGUUUGGAGGUGGGGAGCUGAGGCUGGAGCUAACCCUGUGAGCGGAGCACAGCGGGCCCUUCUGAAGAGCCAGCCUGCAUCCUGGGCACACGCCCGUCCUGAACCUGUCGUUGCCUGCAAGGGGCACUGGAAUCCAGGGCCUGAGUGCCGGCCCAUGACGGGGACACCUGCCCACUGGGUCUCUCAGUGCCGGGCCCUCUGCCUGGGCUCUGGACAGCCCAGGCUGCCUGUGGGUGUCAGCUGAGAUCACUCCUCUUUGGAGAAGCCCCUGGACCCUGGCUGGGAGACCCCACCUCCACUGGCCAGGGCCCUGUCUACCCCACCAGACCCCUCCAUGUCUCAGAUUUUAUGUCCUGCCUGGCUCUGUCACCAGACAUCAGGCCUCCCAGGCCAGGCUCCGUCCAGCGCAUCCUGGGGUCUCCAGCCCAUGCUGGUCUCUGGAGCAUCUUGGGGUCUCCCAUGCACCCUGGGGCAUCCAGAGCACGCUGCGUCUCUGGGGCAUUCAAAGUGUCCAUUCUGGAGUCUCCCACACGGGACAGCAGCCACUGGCAGUGAGGUCAGCGCGUGGCCCACACUGCAGUCCCAUUGGUUGCCUGCUACAGAGGAGGGAGGUCAGACCCGCCCUGUGUCCCUCUCAGCCCCCUGCCACCACCCCAUGUCUGCUGCAGCUUCCCACAACUUGCUGCUGUGGUAGCAGCGUGAUGCGGCCCGGCUCACCUGGGACCUGGUCUAGAAAGAAGGUGUGGAACCCCAGCUGGGUGGAAGUCCUGCAAAUCAAGAUUCGUGGUGACAAACAGAGCAGGCAGUGUCCAGGUGCUGAGCAGCCUGCACGGACUGGAGUGGCCGGGUCUUCUCUUGGCAAAGCUGCAGGUUUUUUUGUCCCGUCCUCACCUCCCAUUGCGUCCCCGAAAUUGAUUUACUUACAGCCAAAUGGAGAAACAAAUGAAAUAUGAUUUCAUUGUG